GACAGAGGUGCCGAGCGUUAGGCGGAAUCACUGGGCUUAAAGCGUGUGUAGGCGGAGUGCUAAGUACCUUGUGAAAUCCCACGGCUUAACCGUGGAACUGCUUGGUAUACUGGUUCUCUUGGGUUCAUCUAGGGGCGAGCGGAACAAACGGUGGAGCGGUGAAAUGCGUAGAUAUCGUUUGGAACGCCAAUGGUGAAAACAGCUCGCUGGGGAUGCACCGACGCUGAGACACGAAAGCCAGGGGAGGCGAACGGGG
rnacentral:rRNA from 1 species